CCCACCUACUCCUUGGUCCCUUUCCUCAACGGAUUUCCUCUUGAUUUUCUACCUCUGAGCCACUCUGCCCUAGCCUUUAACAUUUUUUUUUUUUUUAACUUGAGAAACGAUCUCAUUAAGUUGCUGAGGCUGGCCUCUAACUUGUGAUACUCCUGCCUCAGCCUCUCCAGUAGCUGGAAUUACAGUUGUAUGCCACCCUAC
rnacentral:lncRNA from 1 species